UACGUAGGUGGCAAGCGUUGUCCGGAAUUAUUGGGCGUAAAGCGCGCGCAGGCGGCUUAGUUAUGAUGUGAAAGCCCACGGCUCAACCGUGGAGGGUCAUUGGAAACUGGGAGACUUGAGUGCAGAAGAGAAGAGCGGAAUUCCACGUGUAGCGGUGAAAUGCGUAGAGAUGUGGAGGAACACCAGUGGCGAAGGCGGCUCUUUGGUCUGUAACUGACGCUGGAGGCGCGAAAAGCGUGGGGAGCGAACAGG
rnacentral:rRNA from 1 species